UACAGAGGGUGCGAGCGUUGUCCGGAAUCACUGGGCGUAAAGGGCGCGUAGGUGGCGGCAUAAGGCCGCGGUGAAAGUUCGGGGCUCAACCCUGAAUCGGCCGCGGCGACUGUGUCGCUUGGGCACCGUAGAGGCAGAUGGAAUUCCGGGUGUAGCGGUGGAAUGCGUAGAGAUCCGGAAGAACACCAGUGGCGAAGGCGGCUCUCUGGGACGGUACUGACGCUGAGACGCGAAAGCGUGGGGAGCAAACAGG
rnacentral:rRNA from 1 species